UACCAGCACCCCGAGUGGUCGGGACGAUUAUUGGGCCUAAAGCAAUCCGUAGCCGGUCAUGCAAGUCCUCCGUUAAUCCACCUGCUUAACAGAUCGGGCUGCGGAGGAUACGUACGAAGGCUAGGAGGCGGAAGAGGCAAGCGGUAACUCAGUGGGUAGGGGUAAAAUCCUCUGAUCCAUUGAAGACCACCAGUAGGCGAAGGCGGCUUGCCAAU
rnacentral:rRNA from 1 species